GCUAAAUCCUAUUGAACAGGCUGUAAAGCCCUUCAGGCGGACAGAGAAUCAGUGCAAUAGGCACUGAGGAGGGAUUGCAAUGUCAUCAAAGGGGCACGCUGUGCAAUUUAGAGACAUGCAUGAAUCAGGACUUUGGGGCCCUUUGCCAUAGGUGCACAGAAGACAUUUCCCGAAGAAGUAUUUCAGUGCUUAAACAGCAUUUAGUAGAAACGCAUAGUUUACAGUUCCAAGCAUUGAGAAUGAAGAGCACUUAAGCUGAUCAAAGGUGGCUUUUAUGUGAACUAGAAGUUAGGAUAUAUAAAAGUCACUUAAUCUUAACCUUACAGUGAGCUCUUCAAAAUAUUUCAAAAUAUUUGUUUUAAUGUACAGGUAUAUAUCACUUUAGUAAAUAGGAAUUUUUGGGUGAAAUACUCUUUUAAACAUCUAAUGAUUGUGGAGAAAAAUUAAUCUCACAAAUGAAGACAAUAGGUAAAAACAUUUAAUACAUACUUAAUACUUGGGAGAGGAAAAAUGUACCUUUAUUUUUUAGUAAUCAGUCAGUGAACAGUAAACACAUUCAUGAUAUAAAAUGGCUUGUGAAUGAAUUUCUGAUAUGUUAAUAUUGUACAUGAAUAGACAACACAGUCUAAGAUAUGUGUAGACAGAUCAGGUUUUAAGAAAAUAGAUUUUGAUACACAAGAACUAGUGCCAAAGUUACUGUGGCAAACAAAAACAAAAUCAUUUAUUCAGUGCCUCUGAGACAUGGUACAGCACAAACUGGUUAAAAAAAGACUACGAGCCCAAAGGGUUGUACUGAAUACAUCAGUAGCACUACAGUGGAUUAGGUGUCUGAAAUUCCAUAUGGAUAGAAGAUAAAGUGUCUUCAUAAAACACAUCUGUCUCUCCCAAACAACACUGUCAGCAGCUGUUUCAUCAGUGAAAAGCCCCGAAUGCAACCAAAGCCUCUGAAAUGUCCAAUGAGUUAUAGGACAUGGAACCGCUAUUUUUGAGUAACAUAAUUUUUUACAUUAAAAAAAAAAAAAUAUCCCAUCUUUACUUAAAUCAUUCACUUUGCUUUAUCAAAACUUCUGGAAUCAACCAGAAGUAGUAAAACAAAUGACACUAAGAAGAAUGUCCAUAUGAAAUUUCACAUUAAUCACAAUAAAAGUAAAAUAAAAUAAAACACACAGUGAUACCCAUAAAUGCAAGAGAAGUAUUUAAAAAUAAAUUUAGUUUUAG
rnacentral:lncRNA from 1 species